GGCACUUUGGCGGAGUGGUUAACGCGCGGGCCUGCUAAGCCCGUUCCUUCGGGAGCGAGAGUUCGAAUCUCUCAGGUGUCG
rfam:Paraphaeosphaeria sporulosa strain AP3s5-JAC2a unplaced genomic scaffold CC84scaffold_15, whole genome shotgun sequence.